rnacentral:rRNA from 1 species
UACGUAGGGCGCAAGCGUUAUCCGGAAUUAUUGGGCGUAAAGAGCUCGUAGGCGGUCUGUCGCGUCGGAUGUGAAAACCCGCGGCUCAACCUCGGGUCUGCAGUCGAUACGAGCAAACUAGAGUGUUGCAGGGGAGACUGGAAUUCCUGGUGUAGCGGUGAAAUGCGCAGAUAUCAGGAGGAACACCAAUGGCGAAGGCAGCUCGCUGGGACGGUACUGACGCUGGAGGCGCGGAAAGCCUAGGGGAGCAAACGGG